CCGAGUUUACAACUCCCAAACCCAUGUGAACAUACCUAUCGUUGCUUCGGCGGGACCGCCCCGGGCGCAUUUCGUGCCCCGGAUCCAGGCGCCCGCCGGGGGACCUUAACUCUUGUUUUAUUUAGAAUCUUCUGAGUAGUUUUCACAAAUAAAUAA
rnacentral:misc_RNA from 1 species